rnacentral:rRNA from 1 species
UGCGUAGGCGGUUGACUAAGUCUGGUGUAAAAUCCCACAGCUUAACUGUGGAGGGUCAUUGGAAACUGGUUAACUAGAGUACGGUAGAGGUAAGCGGAAUUCCAGGUGGAGCGGUAAAAUGCGUAGAUAUUUGGAGGAACACCGGUGGCGAAGGCGACUUACUGGGCCGGAACUGACGCUGAUGCACGAAAGCGUGGGGAGCAAACAG